rnacentral:rRNA from 1 species
GUACGGGAGGCAGCAGUCGAGAAUUUUUCACAAUGGGCGCAAGCCUGAUGGAGCGACGCCGCGUGGGGGAUGAAGGGCUUCGGCCCGUAAACCCCUGUCAUUUGCGAACAAACCUUGCCUGAUAACACCAGGCGAGCUGAUUGUAGUGAAAGAGGAAGGGACGGCUAACUCUGUGCCAGCAGCCGCGGUAAUACAGAGGUCCCAAGCGUUGUUCGGAUUCACUGGGCGUAAAGGGUGCGUAGGUGGUGAGGUAAGUCGGAUGUGAAAUCUCUGAGCUCAACUCAGAAAUGGCAUUGGAAACUACCUUGCUUGAGGAUUGGAGGGGGGACUGGAAUUCUCGGUGUAGCAGUGAAAUGCGUAGAGAUCGAGAGGAACACCAGUGGCGAAGGCGAGUCCCUGGACAAUACCUGACGCUGAGGCACGAAAGCUAGGGGAGCAAACAGGAUUAGAUACCCCGGUAGC